UGCACAGUGCUGCUCAACUCACCAUGCACAGCGUUGCACAGUGCUCAUUGCACAGCGCUGCACAUCACAGUGGUGCACAGUGUGCUCAGCUCACGUUGCACAGCAUUGCACACUGCUCACUGCACAGUGCUGCACACCCCAUCAGUGCACAGUGUGCUCAGCCCACCAUGCACAGCAUUGCACAGUGCUCAUUGCACAGCGCUGCACACCACAGUGGCGCACAGUGUGCUCAGCUCACAGUGCACGGCACUGCACAGUGCUCAUUGCACAGUGCUGCACACCCCAUCGGUGCACAGUGUGCUCAGCUCAUGGUGCACAGCGUUGCACAGUGUGCUCAGCUCACAGUGCACAGCAUUGCACGCUGCUCAUUGCACAGCGCUGCACACCCCAUCGGUACACAGUGUGCUCAGCUCAUGGUGCACAGCGUUGCACAGUGCUCAUUGCACAGCGCUGCACUCCACAGUGGUGCACAGUGCUGCACACCACAUCGCGCUGCACACCACAGUGGUGCACAGUGUGCUCAGCUCACCAUGCACAGCACUGCACAGUGCUCAUUGCACAGCGCUGCACACCCCAUCGGUGCACAGUGUGCUCAGCUCACCAUGCACAGCAUUGCACACUGCUCAUUGCACAGCACUGCACACCACAUCGGUGCACAGUGUGCUCAGCUCACAUUGCACAGCGCUGCACAUCACAGUGGUGCACAGUGUGCUCAGCUCACGUUGCACAGCGCUGCACACCACAUCGGUGCACAGUGUGCUCAGCUCAUGGUGCACAGCACUGCACAGUGCUCAUUGCACAGCACUGCACACCCCAUCGGUGCACAGUGUGCUCAGCUCACCAUGCACAGUGUUGCACAGUGCUGCACACCCCAUCGGUGCACAGUGUGCUCAGCUCACAGUGCACAGCAUUGCACGCUGCUCAUUGCACAGCGCUGCACACCCCAUCGGUGCACAGUGUGCUCAGCUCAUGGUGCACAACGUUGCACAGUGUGCUCAGCUCACGUUGCACAGCGCUGCUCACUGCUCACUGCACGGCUGUGCUCAUUGCACAGCGCCGUUUCCUGCUCUCCCUGCACAGCGCUCAUUGCCGUCGCUGCUUUCCGGUGCUUUCUCAGCCCCCGCAGCCGCUGCCGAGCCGUGCACACACGUCAGGGUUGCACGUCGUUGCACGCAGAACCGUUUGCACGCGUCCUGCGGCGCUGCAACGGCAUCUGCGCGUGCAACGCACGCGGCUGCGUGCACGGGGCGCG
ensembl:lncRNA